rnacentral:tRNA from 2 species
GCUCAAGUAGUCUAGUUCGGUUAGGACUCCACCCUGUCACGGUGGCAACCCGGGUUCAAAUCCCGGCUUGGGCG